UUGGGGGAAAUUUUCCAGCCGCUAUGACCUUUGCUCUGCGUUUGAGGACUUUUGCAUUGUGUGAUAAUACUUGGUGAUAGGCUGUCUGUUUGCUCCUUUUCCUGCCUCGACCACAGCAGUGCUAUCAGCUGUGCUGUGACAUAAUGUUCAGUUCUGGUGUGUUCCUUCAUCUGCUGUAUCACUUCUAGGAUAAUGUGUUAACAGUUCUGUUGGUUUAAAGAUGAAAGGGCACCGCGGAGCUGCUACUGCCUCAAUUACAUCAGAGAGCAUGAAGACAACAAUGGAGAGACUUACGUCACUGGACUCAACAACAGGGACUCAACACAAAACCAUGGAAACAGCAAAGCUUUUUUUGGAACUACAAAAGCAAUCAUGAGCAUUGUGCUGAUUUUGAAAUCAAUAAACAUCCACACUUUAUAAAGGUUUCAGAUUGUAGUCAAAGACUUGUGAGUAUGAUUAGCAACAAAAUUGUAUUAAUUCAACCAAGUUUAGCUAACUGGUUAUGAACGUAGUGUAUUAGCAUAGCAGCUAAUAACAAAAAUGUGCCUGGGACAUCACACAAAGGAAUUC